rnacentral:lncRNA from 1 species
CUUCGUCGUCUGCGGCAUCCCCUUCAAUGUCGCAGACAAGCCGAUGUUCCUGGACUGGCAGACAGAAGUGCGGCCUGGACUGGUGCCAGCGAGCAAGUGUCCUGUUCUAUCGCGCUAAGUUGAGGGUUAUCGUUUGGUGCACCUACCACCAUACCCCUCCCUCUCCCCCCUGCCCUUACCCCCAUUAGGCGCACGGGCGAUGCGCUGCGAGCUGCUGGACAAGGAGUACUUGUACAUCAAGAGCUUGGUUGAGAAGCGAAUCCAGACUGAGGCGGCUGUGACUGCGGUCAUCGAUGGAUGGACUGACCCGCGGGGCCAGUCCAUCUACAGUGUGGUCAUCACCUUCUCCUCAGAUCGGAGCUCAGUACUCUUCGACUCUCGCG